UACGGAGGGGGCUAGCGUUGUUCGGAAUUAUUGGGCGUAAAGGGUGCGUAGGCGGCUUAUUAAGUCUAUGGUGAAAGUGCGGGGCUCAACCCCGUAUGGCCAUAGAAACUAGUAGACUUGAGUGCAGGAGAGGGCAAUGGAAUUCCAUGUGUAGCGGUAAAAUGCGUAGAUAUAUGGAGGAACACCAGUGGCGAAGGCGGUUGCCUGGCCUGUAACUGACGCUGAGGCACGAAAGCGUGGGGAGCAAAUAGG
rnacentral:rRNA from 1 species